AGCGACUUAGUUCAGUUGGUAGAACAACGGGGUCAUAAUCCGUAUGUCGUGAGUUCAAUUCUCACUAUCGCUA
rnacentral:tRNA from 1 species